rnacentral:rRNA from 1 species
ACGCUCGACACCUACGGAGGCAGCAGUGGGGAAUAUUGGGCAAUGGGCGCAAGCCUGACCCAGCAACGCCGCGUGAAGGAUGAAGGCUUUCGGGUUGUAAACUUCUUUUAUCAGGGACGAAACAAAUGACGGUACCUGAUGAAUAAGCCACGGCUAACUACGUGCUAGCAGCCGCGGUAAUCUGAGCGGGCUGGCAAGGC